rnacentral:rRNA from 1 species
ACCGGCGCACGGGUGAGUAACGCGUAUGCAACCUGCCUGAUACCGGGGUAUAGCCCAUGGAAACGUGGAUUAACACCCCAUAGUACUUUUAUCCUGCAUGGGAUGUGAGUUAAAUGUUCAAGGUAUCGGAUGGGCAUGCGUCCUAUUAGUUAGUUGGCGGGGUAACAGCCCACCAAGACGAUGAUAGGUAGGGGUUCUGAGAGGAAGGUCCCCCACAUUGGAACUGAGACACGGUCCAA